rnacentral:rRNA from 1 species
UACGUAGGGGGCUAGCGUUGGCCGGAAUUACUGGGCGUAAAGCGCACGCAGGCGGUUCGCCAAGUUUGGAGUGACAGUUGUCGGCUCAACCGACAAAGGACUUCAAAAACUGGUGAACUUGAGGACGAGAGAGGAACAUGGAACUCCAGGUGUAGUAGUGAAAUGCGUAGAUAUCUGGAAGAACACCAAUGGCGAAGGCAAUGUUCUGGCUCGUUUCUGACGCUCAGGUGCGAAAGCCAGGGGAGCGAACGGG